rnacentral:lncRNA from 13 species
AGAGACAGCAAGAGAGCAGGAGGGUCAGGGGGCAUGGAGGCAACAGGGAGACUGGCAGAGGGAAGUGUCCUGAAAGCCGAGGGAAGGAGAAGGGAGUGGCCACCCAUGUGCAGUGCUGCUCUAUUGAGUAAGGCCUUCGUUGUAAGAAAGCCAUGUUAAGAACUAAAGAGUACUGAUGCAAAGACUGCAGACUACUGAUGAAGAUUGUGGCCAGAGAUACUUGGAGAGGAGAACCCACCUGCCUCAGGGCCUGAAGGAGCCUUUGGGCUUCCUGGCUAGAGUGCUGAGGAGCUCGGUGCUCUCAGGCAGCUGGUGAGAGGAGAGAUCUGGGUUUGAAGAGGUGACCCGCCAGGCCUAUGGAUGGGGAUCCACAUGGCGAGUUUCUCCAGCUCCUGUGUACCCAAACUGCUAUGAAAAUCAGUUAGUGGGUUUCUGCUAUGAGCAGCUGUUACUAAUUCAUUUGGGGUGUCUUUAUAGUUUACAAGGCACGCUUGCUUCUGAUUUUCCAUUAGAGGCUGAGGCCACUCCCAGAGGCCCAGUAAAGAGCAGUGGCCAAGUGUACAAACUCUGGACCUAGGCUCGGAUCCCAGCUCUGCCUCAUUCUAGCUGUGUGACCUUUGGCAAGCUACUUAACCUUUCUGUGCCUUUCUUUAUGUGUCUGUAAAAUGGUGGUAAGACUAGUAGCUAUCAGGGGAGGAUCCAAGAUGGCAGAAUAGGAACAGCUCUGGAGUGCAGUUCCCAGCAAGAACAAUGCAGAGGUCUGACCUGAUGCCUCAAGCAAGAGAACAAGGUCAGCAAAGAGCUGUCCAGGAAUGUCCAGCCCUCGGUGCCUGGCAGAGGGUAUCAAGCAUGGCAGAUGUUGGAAUGACGUCUUCUGUGUGUUCGGAGCGGACUGACUGAGUGUGGAACCAUCACCAAAGAGAGCUCAGGGAGAUUCAAGAGCUUCUGGCAAUUUGAGAAACUUCCCUGGCAGAGAAUUUACUUCAAGUCAGAAAUCUCCCCAAUAACUUCAAAGUCCUGCCGGUAAUGAGGAAAGAGAAGUGGACCCAAAAUACUUCCUUCAGUCUGCUUUUCAGUUUGUUCACGAAAUUGGCUCACCAGGUAAAUGAGUCUUGUUCAAGAGCCUGCCAUGCUCCAGAACUGCGGACCUAGCAGUGAACAGAACCAGUGCGAUCUGGCCCUCACGGAGCUUCUCUGAUAUGCUUUGGCUCUGUGUCCCCACCUGAAUCUUACAUUGAAUUAUAAUCCUUACGUGUCAGGGGAGGGACCUGAUGAGAAGAGAUUGGGUUAUGGGGUGGAUUCUCCCCAGCCUGUUCCUGUGACAGUGAGCGAGUUCUCACAAGUUCUGAUGGUUUAAAAGUGUGGCACUUGCCCUUUUGCAAGCUCUCUCUCUCCUUCCUGCCACCAUGUAAGACACGUCUUGCUUCCCCUUUGCCAUAAUUAUUAGUUUCCUGAGACCUCCCCAGCCAUGCAGAACUGUGAGUCAAUUAAAUCUCUUUUCCUUAUAAAUUGCUGUCUCAGGUAGUUCUUUAAAGCAGCGU